rnacentral:rRNA from 1 species
UACGGAGGAUGCGAGCGUUAUCCGGAUUUAUUGGGUUUAAAGGGUGCGUAGGCGGUCUCUUAAGUCAGCGGUCAAAGCCCGGGGCUCAACCCCGUACGGCCGUUGAAACUGUGUCCCUUGAGUGCGCGAAGGGUAGGCGGAAUGCGUGGUGUAGCGGUGAAAUGCAUAGAUAUCACGCAGAACUCCGAUCGCGAAGGCAGCCUACCGGCUCCACACUGACGCUGAGGCACGAAAGCGUGGGUAUCGAA